rnacentral:tRNA from 1 species
GGUUUCUUGGUGUAGUGGCUAUCACGUGACCUUUACACGGUCAAGGUCGUCGGUUCGAACCCGGCAGGAAUCA